CUACGGGGGGCACCAGUGGGGAAUAUUGCACAAUGGGCGCAAGCCUGAUGCAGCCAUGCCGCGUGUAUGAAGAAGGCCUUCGGGUUGUAAAGUACUUUCAGCGGGGAGGAAGGGAGUAAAGUUAAUACCUUUGCUCAUUGACGUUACCCGCAGAAGAAGCACCGGCUAACUGCCGUGCCAGCAGCCGCGGUAAUACGGAGGGUGCAAGCGUUAAUCGGAAUUACUGGGCGUAAAGCGCACGCAGGCGGUUUGUUAAGUCAGAUGUGAAAUCCCCGGGCUCAACCUGGGAACUGCAUCUGAUACUGGCAAGCUUGAGUCUCGUAGAGGGGGGUAGAAUUCCAGGUGUAGCGGUGAAAUGCGUAGAGAUCUGGAGGAAUACCGGUGGCGAAGGCGGCCCCCUGGACGAAGGCUGACGCUCAGGUGCGAAAGCGUGGGGAGCAAACAGGAUUAGAUACCCUUGUAGUC
rnacentral:rRNA from 1 species